CCUUCAUUCUCCUCCUCCUUUCUCUUCCUAAGCCGCACCCUUCCCCCUUCUGGCCCAUCUCGCUGCCGAGCGCCCCAGCCCCCUCGCUCCGUCGCUCGUCUUCCUCCUCGCGCACUACCGGACUCCGGUAGGGCAAGCGCCGCCACCGCCGGUUUGAUCUUCCCUUCGAUUCUCUCGCUCCCGACCGUUUCUCCUCCCAUCACCCCGCCCUACCUUGAUUUUUGCCUCAGUUACGAAUUGAGGAAGAUUAUGAAACAGGGAGCUAAAGGGCGGAAUCCGUUCGUGGGGCCGCGGCCGCCCUACCUUGCCCUGCUGGGUCCUCCGGCUCCGUCCAUGUGAACACUAGCUAGCUAGCUAGCUUUGCUUCGAUUACUUCGACUGUGAGGCCACCGCGAAUGGCGUCCGUUGGCUCCUCGGAGCAUGCGAGGCGAGCGCUCUAUCCGCCACCCCGUUGGUCUUCACUCGCCGGUGGCCGAUGAUCGCGAAUAUCGCAUCCUCUUCCCUGUUUUAAACGGCGGCGAUGAUGGAGGGACACCCGAUGGCGCCGGACGCACCGGAUCGUCGCUUCUCGGAGCCAGUCCUCCCGCCGCUCCGCCCGCGCAUCGGCUGGGAAGCCCCUCGGGGUUGCCGCCGGUGUCGAUGGAGUCUGCGGCGGUGCGGGUUGGAGACCGAGCGGCGGGGGUCCGUGGCGGAUUCCGGUCGAGGGUUUGGUCGGCCACCGCGGAAUCUGAGCCGCCAUUGAUGGAUCUGGUUGCAUUUGAGUUUGGAUUCGGUGUGUUUCCGAUCUCUCUCUCUCUAUCUGCGCCCGCGCAGUUCUCACCCCAAAACCCAAACCCUAAACCAAAUCAGUUGCCGACCAGCCGAACCAUCGGCUGCGUCAGCCCCACCGCUACGGUGCCGCCCAUUGCAUUGGAUUCGGUUGUGGUAAGGGCUGGGAACCGUACGGUGUUGUCUGAUGGGUGCUCCCAGUCGGGGGUGUGGUCGGUCGAGGCGAGAUUUGAGCAGCUCCUGAUCAGUCCUGAUGGAUGUAUGCAUGCAUGCAUGUAUGGAUAUCAUGGUCAAGUUGCUAUGUGUGCAUGUCAAUGCCAUGAUGCAGCAGCCGCCGCAAUCUCCUUCUCAUGUUCGUCCUUGUGUGUUGCCCUGCCAUGCUCUGCUGUGAUAAGAAAUGGAAUCCUUACGAGGGGCGAUGAUGUUGAACUGUGGCUGAAAUAAGCUUGCCUUCGAGCAAUUGAGACAGGUGUGGCCUUUGGGUAUCGAUUUGGAGCCCACCCUCAUAUCUCUUGCAGCCUGUUCAAUCACUCGGUAAUGUUGGAUGUUCUGCCUCGGACGGUCAUUCAAUGAGUGAUAACCAGCGCAGCUCCACUUAUGUUAUGUUGUGUAGAUUAUGCAGCAAGAGAUGUGAGGGUCGGGCUUGAUGAUGAAGCAAAAACAAAACUGAGCCCACUCAAUGCAGUUUUACUAUUCUUUUGUUCGCUUGUUGUGAGGGUCAAACCUGGAUUGAUGUCCUUUGUUGUUGACAAACCCAAUCCUAGCUUGCUUGGAUUGUUCUUUUGUUCUGAGCAUUUUUUUUGCUGCUAGCAGUCUAGUCCAAAUAUUAUUAUUUCUGAAAAGGAUGCUCUAUUCCAUCCAGAUUGCUGCCAAUUUUGGUGCCGGAUCAUCUUUAUUUCACUAUAUGAUGCUUCUGUUUGGUAUAUUUCAUACCCCAUUAUGAGUGAGCGCCUGUGGGAUCCAGUCAGAUGCUUUUAUUUAAAGAGUGGAAUACUCAUGGUGGGCAAUGAUGAACUUUUCUGAAAAAUAUGAUAUUGAGCAAUCGUGGCACCUGUGGGACGUCCCUCUGUCGAGUGAUAACCGGUGCAGCUCCACUUAUAUUUGUGUGAGUAGAUUGUGCAGCAAGAGAGUUGGGCUGGGUUUGUAUAAUAAAGAAAAUGCGGAGAUGAGCUCUCUCAAAAUCUGUGCUAUUUUGCUAUAAAGAGUGCUCCAGUGCUGGUAUAUUUUAUGAUUUUCUUUUUGUUCGUCUUUGAAGCUAUAAUCAACUUCAUAUUAACUGCUUCUUCAGUGUUGAUAAUAGCCAGACUCCACUCUUGAACUUGAAGCUAAUGAGUCAAACUUUCUUUUACUUUCGGUUGGUUGAACCUCAAGAUCCUUUACAUCUGUUUUUCUAAGUGCUCCACCUGUUCAAAACAUUGUCAUUUCAUUAUUCUUUAUCUGCAUACAAUCCAUAAUUCUGCAUCAAGUAACAAUAACAUCACACGUUUGAUGUUUGAUGUGUUACUUUAUUUCUGCGAGUGUGUUUGGCAGAUGUUUUGCACCAUUUUUAUGGAUGGCGAUGAUGAAUAUGGCUUAUUCAGAAGUACAUGGAAAAACCUUGAUAAGAUUCCAAAGUUUGGUAUAAGGUUUUGGGUUUAGGUUUUUGGUGUGUUUAUCUCUAUUAUACUAGCAAAAUGGACACAUUCAAAUUGGAUGGUUUGCAUAUUGUGAGCAACCAUUUGAAUGCAUUGUUACAUAGAGGUGUCAGCGGGUUGGAUACGGAAUGGAUAUCAUGGGAAAAACAACAUUAGUUCUCUCACAUUUUGUUUGGGCACCAUAACUUUUUUUCUCGUAUAUUUGAUGCUAUUGCUGGUUCUAUUUCUGGGUUAACAAGACACUGUGGUCUUGUUGGUAUGUUAACUUUGCCACAUGCUUCUCCAGAGGCGAAGUUAUUACCUGCCAUAUCUGCAUAAAAUUUCAACUGUUUCUUUGGUUGCCAGUAGUGCGGCCAUGAGUACAGUGUUUUGGUCCUCAGAACACAUUAUGUUCGUUUCCUUUCUUUGAUGUGUUCUGUUCUGUUCUGUUAUCGAAUGGCUAUGAUGAUUAUUUACCCCUUGGUGUUGGAGAUCUUUUCACACAUGAGCUGGAGAUCUUUUCACAUCUCCUAAGUUGGUUCCUUCCAUGCAAAUUUGCCCAGUUAGACAGCUGGUCGUUAAACUAGGAGGCCUUGCCCUGUAGCAAGUUACCAGUUGCGGCUAUUUCUUGCUGGUGCUGUUUGUAUGGGGAGAGAGAAAGAGAGAUAUUUGUAUUGCACCUUGUUAUUACCACCAUUGUCCAACUUUUGUGAUUAAUAGUGGGGUCAAUCUGAGCUAUUCAAGUAGUAUUCCCAAAAGAAUCCAGUGUUCUAGCAAGUUAUUCCUCUUUUGGUUGUUAAAUACUGCCUCUGUUUCUAUACGAUGUUCUAGCUUUAUCCAAAGUCAAAUUUGUCACUUGAGGCGAGAUUUGAGCUCUUGUUGGUGAUGGAUGGUUGUUUUGGUUACGCAAUUUUGUAUGUCCACCAUUAUCACCACCAUGAGCACUACUCGCAUCGAAGGAAGAUGUGUGUACUGCUUUUAAAUGGGAUUUGUAAGUAGGGUAUACAUGAAACAUCUCAUUGUUUAUUUUUCUGAACGUUCAGGAUCUGAGUCUUUAAUAAAAAGAGGUACAAGUAGUAAAUUUGCAUGACCCCAAUUAUUCUAAAAACCCAGUGCUUUAAAUAAAUAGCCAAACUCCUAUAGAGGUUUCAGAGAGUUCAGAAUGAUCAGCGCCGAAAUCCUUUGCCGGUUUCUUUUCUGAUAUCCAAGUAGCAACUGGCAGUAAUUAAGAAGGGUUGUCCAAAGAAAUUAGUACAUUUGUUUUAGCAAGGGCGGAUCUCCGGCCGCCUCCCGCCUCCGACCAGGCGGAUCUACCCCUGGUAAUUUCCAUCUCCGUAGAAUGGUGUUGUACUCUUUUUGAUGCAAAGCUCUUGAGCACUUUUGUUAAUACAAAACCACAAGGAUUUCAGUUUUUAUUUCUACGGGUAGAGUCAUAGAGAGGUUCUUCAUUGGUGUAUGCAAGAAACUGGUGCACUCUUUUACAUUCAGUUGUAAAUCGGUACUGAAAACUGAUAGCCGUCUAAACUAAUCUCCUGGAUGAGAGAUGUUGACAUUAUGUGCUGUGGUUUCUAACUUAUCACAAAAGAUAUAUGAUAUAAUGUUGUAUUGUACUCCCUUGUCCUGAAAUUCUUGUCGUGACGGCUCUUUUACAAAAAAACCCUUCCUCUUUCUAUGGCCUUGCUCUGCGGUCCAAUCACUUACUCCACCCCCCUCUCCCUCUCAGCCUCGCCCCCGUCCCCCUUUGCUCUCCCUCUCACCUCUGAUGCUGCUCUCCCUCUCCCUCUAGCCUCACCGCCGCUCUCCCUCUUGCCCUCGCAGCGCUCCGGUCGCCUCCAGCCCCCUCCCCUCCACCUUCCCCUCCUAUCUUCGUGCUGCUCCCUCCACCUUCCCCUCUCUUCUCCGUCGGUGCUGGCCAAGAUGGUUUCUCCGACCAAAAAGGAGGCACCUUUGGUCAGAUCCGGUGGCUUCGAGGCCGGAUCCGGUGUUUCCGAGGAUGGAUCCGGUGGCCCGCCGCCGCAGCCCGAGGAGAAGCAGCAGUAGCGGUAGAAGGGGAGGAGCAGCUGCUCCUCACGGCGGCGCGACUUGGAGCAGCAGCCGCUACUCACGGCGGCGCGACGAGGAGUACUCAGGAGCUGCUCCUCAAGGCGGCGGAGACGACGAGCAGCUCCUCAAGGCGGCCACGACGACGAGGAGCAGCUCCUCAAGGCCCCGGCACGACGAGGAUGAGUGACUCAAGGCUCAAGGUCCCUUCGUCGUUGUUGUUGAGCACCUGCAAAAGACCGAAAGAUAAGUUAUUCUCCAUAUAACAACUCUAUUUUCAGUACUGUACUUCAUUUAAGAAAGCAUGCAUGUGUUAAUUUGAUGUCUAUACAUGGAGAACUUGCCGUAGUGGUUACUCAUGGUACGUGUUGUUCUGAACAUGUACAUGUUGUGAUUUACUCCUACAUUUUCAGCUUUAAGAAACAAAUCUAUAGUACUCCAUGCACAAACAUGUGAUGGUUAAGAAACAACAGUUUAUUUGAGUUACCUGCUGCUUCAACAUCUUCAUCUUCUAUGGGCAUAUCUUCAUCUACUUGAUGUUCUUGCUGAGUUAUAUCUUCAUUGACUUGCUCAUCCACUUGUUGUUCUUGCUGAGGUAUAUCUUCAUUGACUUGCUCAUCCACUUGUUGUUCUUGCUGAGGUAUAUCUUCAUUGACUUGCACAUCUACUUGUUGUUCUUGCUGAGCAUCUGCUUGAAAAUCUGCUUCAUGUACAGUUUCUUCCUCCAUUGCUUCAUUUCUUGUUCCUCCACUUCUUUCUUUUUCUAUUUGUCUCUAUUGCAGAUGGGGGAUGGCGGUAGGCCAAGCGAAGGCAGAGGCGGAGCUCUGCCGCAGAUGGGAGAUUGCGGCACGCCAAGCGAAGGCAGAGGCAGAGCUCUGCCGGAGAUGGGGUAUGGCGGAUGAGCCCGUGAAGGCAGGGGCCGAGAUGCCUACAGGGGGGCGAUGGAGAUGCCGGGCGGCGUAGCUCGUCUGCGGGCGACGGCAGGCAAGAGGCAAUGGCGGCGUACGACAGCAUCGCGCGACGGGCGACGGCAUCUUGCUCCUGUCGGCUGACCACUGAGUUGCAAAGGCACUGAUCAGUUACCUGCUGCUCCAGCAUCAUCUUCAGGAGGGCUGAAGUUAAAAUCUGGUGUGUGCAUCUUGUUGCCUUCUGGAGUUCAAAGCUGGAGUCUGGAGAAAGGAAGGCGCAGGGCUGGAGAGAGGAAGGAGGCGAACUGGAGAUGGGGAGGGGAGGGGAUCUGCGCUUGGAGAGAGGAGAGGGGGAGGGGGAGGGGACCUGCGCCUGGAGAGAGGAGAGAGGAAGGAGGAGGCGGAAGCGACCUGGAGAGAUGCUGGCGGAAGCGACCUGGAGAGGAGAUGGUGGAGAUUUGAAUUUCAAAUUGUUAAUAUUAGUGGACCUGUAAUUAUUGUAAAUCUGAGGAUGUUUUUGUAAAAUGGUCUUUCUGAAGGCCUUGCGACAAGAAUUUCGGUACGGAGGGAGUAUAAAAUACUGCUUUCAACUUCUAGGAAAUUAUGUGGACACGUACUUUUGCUCGGUCAUCAAUCGUUGGAAAACAUCGUGUAUGUACAUUUUAGUCCAAGGAAAUAUUUUCAGUCAUG